CCAACGCGUGAUCCGCCUGCGCAUAAAAAUAGUGAUGCAAUACAUAGAGGAGUUAAAAUGGAUUUCAAGUCUGAUCUAGAAUAUGCGACGAGCAAGCUGAAGAUAGAGUUUAGUUUUAGCGACUACCAAUUGAAAGCCCUAAAGAGUCUUUAUGAUUUGAAAGAUACGAUCGCAGUUCUCCUAACUGGCUCAGGAAAAAGCAUUAUUUUUCAGGGGUUCAGAUUUCUGCAAAGCGUUCAACAGACUUGGAGACCUGACAUGUUUGUUUCCCAAAAUACCUCACUUGGCACUUACAGCGACAGCAACACCAAAUGCUAUAGAAAACCUUAUUGAAAGCCUCCAAUUCAAGAACACCACAAAAGUAUUAGCCAACCCUGACUGCCCUAAUAUUUCUAUCUAUCCAUCUAUACUGUCUAACUCCCCUUGCGGGUAUUAUUGACAGGUGCGCAGUCAGUGCAAGAUAAAAGUGUUAAAAGUGAAUAAGUGAGAAAGAUAAAAGUAUUAAUCAUGCAUGGUGAAGUGAUUUAAGGUUAAAGCUGAUAAAAAACAUGUCUCUCGGAGUUCAAGGGGCAGAUGGGGAAAGCAGGGACCGUUUAAACCCUUCAAGAUCAGGAUGUAAUACUGUAGUGGCAGGGAGGUUGUUUCACAUCACAAUAGAACUUGGGAAAAAUGAAAACUUAUAAUAAUUUGCAGUGGUAUGGAUCGGUCUGAAAGAGAGGGGGUGCAUGUGACGAGUGAAUCUGGUGGGUCGCUCGAUAUACGACGGCAGCGGCACGGCUAACAAUUGAACAAUUUUGAAAAAGAUUAUUAAUUAAGUGUCAUUUCGUCUGUCUUGUAGGGUCUGCCAACCAAGUUCCUGUUGCAUGGAGGUGACACUGUCACAUGGAGAAUAAUUAUGCUUAACCCAGCGGACUGCUCGACGCUUUACUUUUUCAAUUUUUUGUAUAUUUUGUAAAGUGUGAGGACUCGAUACGGAAGAAGCAUAUUCAACCUGUGGUCUAACUAUUGUCUUGUAUGCCAGCUGGCGAAUGUUGGAAUUUCUUGUCUGUAUGUUCCUGUGUAGAAAACCAAGAGAUUUAUUAGCGUUAUUUGUAAUUCUAUUUAUAUGGGUGUUCCAGGAGGUUUAUUGUUUGGGGAAAAAUAAGAAAGAAUGCCAAAUAUUCACAAAUAUGAAAAGUAUGAUAUGAUAAUGCAUGAAGAGCUGCCUGAAUUAAAAAAGCAACAUAUUGAGUUUAUAGUCACCAUAAAUUAUGUACUGUGAUAAUUUGGAAUCUCUAGGCUAUUGCUUUUAACUAGUUUGCUAUGAACUAGGAAAACAUGCAUAUUGUCCUGAAUCCAGUACACAACCAGAAGAUUGAAUUGUAGCACAAUUUCUCAAAAACUACAAGGACAGAAUGAAAGCUCACAUUAUUUCUGAGCUUAGAAAGAAAAAUCCAAAAGUUUGUUUAGUGCUUGAAACAGUUGCCUUAGUUAUGGGUCUAAACGCGCCUUCGAUUGCAAGAGUUAUUCAUAUGCAACCACCUACAACACUUGAAAAGUACAUGCAAGAAAUCUGUAGAGCAGGUUGCAACGGUAAACCUGCAAGUGCCUUGACUGUGUUAUUAUAACAACGGUGACAUUUUGAAAAACAGGAAAGGAAUGGACAUUGAAAUGUUCUCAUACAUUCAAAACAAUUCCACAUGCUUGCGCUUACAUUUGGUUAAUCAUUUUGGCUACAGUAACAGCAGUGUCUUGUUUUCAGGGAACCAAAAUAGUUGUUGUAGUAGUUGUAUGGCUGGUUAAAUGACUGAGAGAUGCCAAUUAGAACCAUUUUCACUCUGAACCAUGAAAGAAUUUAUUCACAACUAUGUUUAAAGUACUUGUUUGUUUUUAUUCACCAUUACAUACAUUAUAUAAACAUGCAAUUUAAAGUAUAUAUUAAGAACAGGGACUAUACAAACAGGUAUGUAUAGGUCCCUGCUAGAAUUGGGCAACAUCUUUCAAUCAAGUACAUGCUAUGUUUUAUCCUUAAACAUGACACAGUUGCAUGACCUUUCACAUUUGAUCAAUCCAAAAUUAAUUAACUUGAAAUCGAAUAAGAAAUACCGAUGUUUCCUGGUCACAUUUUGUGAAAAUAGUCUAAAAAAGAUGUAUUUUAAUGCGAAAGACGAUGUCAUGUUAAGUGGAGUAUUUAAAAACUAUAACAAAUUUGACGGAUUUUACAUUUUAAUGUUGUUUUUUUGCAAUCAGGUCAAUAUCAAGGUGUUUAUAGUGUAUUCUUAAUGUUUAUGUUGGGUACUUAUCAGUUCUGAUUAUGAUGACUUCCUUAAUGCAUACAUAUGUGUUACACUAUGUGUAGUCCAACUAAUUUAGGUAAAAAGUGGACAAUGUUAUUCCAUUUUGCAUCUAUCAAUAUCGAUACUUCUUUAUCCAUUGCAAGAAAAUAAAUGCCUGGUAAAAACAUGACAUUUAUAUUUAAUAUCUUUGCAAUUUUAUAUUGCAUAUUAUAUAAGAAAUGCUAUUAUCACUCUAUAUGUAUAUUGAAAAUCGUUACAAUAACAAUAAACAGCUCUAUGCAACUG